CCUAUGUGGAUAGCGGUGCCGCCCAACUAGACGGAGCGGCAUCCUUGGCGUCGCGCACCGCUCGGAAUAGCCGCCGAGCGCGGCGCUUUCAGCUUUGACUUCAUUGCCGCUGACCUAUCAAGGCGCGACCAAUGGCUGAGCCAAGAAGCAAUGAUGACGUCCCUGCGCUGGUCGUGCAUCUAUGCACUGCGCGCCACUCGACGCACAGAUCUGCACGCGUUUUCAACUUGAAAUGACAAAACCCAAAAUGAAACCGUGCCCUUCCUGCCAGGCUCCAAACAGGCUCAACAGAAAAACCUGUUUUGCCUGCCUUUUCUGCUUCCCAUAUAAGCAGAAGCAAAAAAAACAACAGGCAAAAGUAAAAAAUACCAACUGGGCCUCAUCAAUUAAAAAAAACAAAAAUAAUGGCAAGAUCUUAGAUGCUGCCCAGUUGUCGGUUUUAAAAUUGACAGCUCUUGGAUACAAGCCAAUCCUUUUUCUUGGUCAUCAAGACCGCAAGAGCCAGCUAAGUGGUGACAUUAUACAUUUUCUUGAGCCAACAGGGGUUGCUCAAGACAUCAUAGGAAAGAUGAGCAAGCUCUAUGA